GGCCUCAAAUCAGGUAGGACUACCCGCUGAACUUAAGCAUAUCAAUAAGCGGAGGAAAAGAAACUAACAAGGAUUCCCCUAGUAACGGCGAGUGAAGCGGGAAGAGCUCAAAUUUGAAAUCUGGUAGCCUCAGGCUAUCCGAGUUGUAAUCUAUAGAUGCGUUUUCCGCGCUGGCCCAUGUACAAGUGCCUUGGAAUAGGCUGUCAUAGAGGGUGAGAAUCCCGUCCCUGACAUGGACUACCAGUGCUUUGUGAUACGUAUUCAACGAGUCGAGUUGUUUGGGAAUGCAGCUCAAAAUGGGUGGUAAAUUCCAUCUAAAGCUAAAUAUUGGCGAGAGACCGAUAGCGAACAAGUACCGUGAGGGAAAGAUGAAAAGCACUUUGGAAAGAGAGUUAAACAGUAUGUGAAAUUGUUGAAAGGGAAACGA
rnacentral:rRNA from 1 species